rnacentral:rRNA from 1 species
CCCCUAGAUGUUCUGGGCCGCACGCGCGCUACACUGACGAAUGCAACGAGCUUAUAACCUUGGCCGAAAGGUCUGGGUAAUCUCCAAAUUUCGUCGUGAUGGGGAUAGAUUAUUGCAAUUAUUAAUCUUCAACGAGGAAUGCCUAGUAAGCGCAAGUCAUCAGCUUGCAUUGAUUACGUCCCUGCCCUUUGUACACACCGCCCGUCGCACCUACCGAUUGAAUGGUCCGGUGAAAUCUCGGGACGGCGGCUUGGUCGCUUGCGUCCGACUGCUGAAACUUGAUUAAACCAUAUCAUUUAGAGGAAGGUGAAGUCGUAACA